rnacentral:rRNA from 1 species
UACGGGGGGGGCAAGCGUUGUUCGGAAUUACGGGGCGUAAAGGGCUCGUAGGCGGCCAACUAAGUCCGACGUGAAAUCCCCAGGCUUAACCUGGGAACUGCGUCGGAUACUGGAUGGCUUGAAUCCGGGAGAGGGAUGCGGAAUUCCAGGUGUAGCGGUGAAAUGCGUAGAUAUCUGGAGGAACACCGGUGGCGAAGGCGGCAUCCUGGACCGGCAUUGACGCUGAGGAGCGAAAGCCAGGGGAGCAAACGGG